GCCCAGCGGGGUAUGACACGCAGUAUUCACGACGUAUGCUCGUGCCAGAUUCUGAUGCUCUGAUGCUACUGGAGGGCAAGGAGAACUACGGCGUCUAUCCGGACAGAUAAUUUUAAGUGGCGGGAGUAGUGACAUAAAGAACGACUGUAUAUCCGCCUUCUGGCGCUGUGACGAAAGGACUGCCCGGCGGAUCAGUUCAGCUGACAGUCAACCGAGGGCAGAGACAAGACUCUGAUCUGCGAUGGUACCACCAGUGACAACUGUGACAAUGUCCACGAUGAGGCCGACUGCUGCAAGCGACCUGAGAGUUUCAGUGUCCCAUCAACCAGCUUUGCAUCGGCCGCCCUGCUCUGCGAUGGCCGUGCCUCGGAUAUUUUCGCGCACCGAACCAAAAAUCGAGCUUUAAUGGCUCCAUCGAAGAAAUUAAAGAACCUGCCGGCUAUGCCAUAUGAGGUGCAACGCGACCAAGCUGCGGAUGAAGAUGGAGCGAAAGACUAUGGAUGAGUAUGCCAGGCUACUACUACCACAAUGCCUUCUACAAGGACCCAAGGUCCGAAGGCGACACCAGUUUAAGGUACGCGCUUGUCCCCAACGAACGAAGGACAA
rnacentral:misc_RNA from 1 species